rnacentral:rRNA from 1 species
GAUGAACGCUGGCGGCGUGCCUAAUACAUGCAAGUCGAGCGAACAGACGAGGAGCUUGCUCCUCUGACGUUAGCGGCGGACGGGUGAGUAACACGUGGAUAACCUACCUAUAAGACUGGGAUAACUUCGGGAAACCGGAGCUAAUACCGGAUAAUAUAUUGAACCGCAUGGUUCAAUAGUGAAAGACGGUUUUGCUGUCACUUAUAGAUGGAUCCGCGCCGCAUUAGCUAGUUGGUAAGGUAACGGCUUACCAAGGCAACGAUGCGUAGCCGACCUGAGGGGGUGAUCGGCAACACGGAAACUGAGACACGGUCCAGACUCCUACGGGAGGCAGCAGUAGGGAAUCUUCCGCAAGGGGCGAAAGCCUGACGGAGCAACGCCGCGUGAGUGAUGAAGGUCUUCGGAUCGUAAAACUCUGUUAUUAGGGAAGAACAAAUGUGUAAGUAACUAUGCACGUCUUGACGGUACCUAAGCAGAAAGCCACGGCUAACUACGG